rfam:Salmo salar isolate Sally breed double haploid chromosome ssa14, whole genome shotgun sequence.
UCCCGCGUGGCUCAGUUUGUAGAGCAUGGUGUUUGCAACGCCAGGGUUGUGGGUUCGAUUCCCACGGGGGAC